GAUCAUGGCUCAGGACGAACGCUGGCGGCGUGCUUAACACAUGCAAGUCGAACGGAAAGAGAUGAAAGAGCUUGCUCUUUUAUUAAUUUCAGUGGCAAACGGGUGAGUAACACGUAAACAACCUGCCUUAAAGGAUGGGGAUAACAGACGGAAACGACUGCUAAUACCGAAUACGUUCUAAGCAUCGCAUGGUGCAUAGAAAGAAAAGGGGUGGCCUCUACAAGAAAGCUAUCGCCUUAAGAGGGGUUUGCG
rnacentral:rRNA from 1 species